rnacentral:tRNA from 1 species
AUUUAUAUAGUUUAUUAAAAACAUUACACUUUCACUGUAAAAAUACAUUUCACUAUAAUGCUAUAAAUU